GAUAAUGGUUAGGGUUAGGAUAAUGGUUCGGGUUAGGAUAAUGGUUAGGGUUAGGGUUAGGAUAAUGGUUAGGGUUAGGAUAAUGGUUAGGGUUAGAGCUAGGGUUAGGAUAAUGGUUAGGGUUAGAGCUAGGGUUAGGAUAAUGGUUAGGGUUAGGAUAAUGGUUAGGGUUAGGAUAAUGGUUAGGGUUAGGAUAAUGGUUAGGGUUAGGAUAAUGGUUAGGGUUAGGGUUAGAGCUAGGGUUAGGAUAAUGGUUAGGGUUAGGAUAAUGGUUAGGGUUAGGGUUAGGAUAAUGGUUAGGGUUAGGAUAAUGGUUAGGGUUAGGAUAAUGGUUAGGAUAAUGGUUAGGGUUAUGAUAAUGGUUAGGGUUAGGAUAAUGGUUAGGGUUAGGAUAAUGGUUAGGGUUAUGAUAAUGGUUAGGGUUAGGAUAAUGGUUAGGGUUAGGAUAAGGGUUAGGGUUAGGAUAAUGGUUAGGGUUAGGAUAAUGGUUAGGGUUAGGGUAAUGGUUAGGGUUAGGAUAAUGGUUAGGGUUAGGAUAAUGGGUAGGGUUAGGAUAAUGGUUAGGGUUAGGGUAAUGGUUAGGUUAGGAUAAUGGUUAGGGUUAGGGUAAUGGUUAGGUUAGGAUAAUGGUUAGGGUUAGGGUUAGGGUUAGAUAAGGGUUAGGGUUAGAGCUAGGGUUAGGGUAAUGGUUAAGGUUAGGGUUAGAUAAGGAUAAAGGUUAAGGUUAGGGUUAGAUAAGGAUAAAGGUUAAGGUUAGGGUUAGAGCUAGGGUUAGGUUAGGGUUAGGAUAAUGGUUAGGGUUAGGAUAAUGGUUAGGGUUAGGAUAAUGGUUAAG
rnacentral:lncRNA from 1 species